UUGGCCUCUCAAAGUGCUGGGAUUACAGGUGUGAGCCACUGUGUCCGGCCCUUAAAUUCUAUUUCUUAAAAAGAGUCCGUUCAAGAUUGAUGUUAUAGAUACUCCUCAACUUACAAUUGUUUUAUGUCUUAAUGAACUCAUCCUAAAUUGAAAAUAUUGUAAGUCUAAAACGCAUUUAAUAUAUUUAACCUACUGAAUAUCAUGACUUAGCCUCGCCUACCUUAAACUUGCUCAGAACACUUACAUUAUCCUACAAUUGGGCAAAAUCAUCUACCACAAGGCCCAUUUUAAAAUAUUGAGUAUCUCAUGAAAUUUAUUGAAAACUAUACUGAUAGUGAAAAACUGGUCAUAUUGAUGCUCAUCAUUAACGUACACAGAUGAAAGCACCAUUAUCAAGUAAGAAGAGCACAAGUCAAGCCACUGCUGGUGUGCAAUGGUGCGACUUCCGCUCACUACACUUCCACCUUCUGGGAUUCAAGCCAUUCUCCUGCCUCAGCCUCCGGAGUAGCUGGGACUACAGGCAUGUGCCACCAUGCCCGGCUAAUUUUUGUAUUUUUAGUAGAGGCAGGGAUUCACCACAUUGGUCAGGCUGGUCUCGAACUCCUGGCCUCAAGUGAUCUGCCCGCCUCUGCCUCCCAAAGUGCUGGGAAUACAGGCAUGAGCAACCGCACCCGGCCUGGAUUAAUUGAAAAUUUUCUUCUGUAGAUUGUAAUAUAUUACUAUUGUUAUCUAUUUUAUUGCCCCAAUUUUCUCAAAUUUGGCUAUGGAAGUUUAUUCAAAGUGGAUCUGUUUCCCUUUCACAUUUUCCCCAUUUUGUGAGCAUUUCCUUACUUCCUAACAUGACAAAAUAUUUCAAACUAAUCUUGUAUUUUCCCUGCCCAAUCCUGAUAUCAAAUAUGUCCCCAAGGAGCCUUGGUUCCUUUAAUUGGAGAGUGGUGUUCUCAUUGUUACUGGGAUGAUGUUGUUUCUAGGCCCUUUUGUUAGAGGAGCUAGAAAAUAUAUGUAUGUAUACUCACACAUUUAUACACAUCUGUACUUAUUUAUACAAUUAUCCAUCUGUACGUAUACUAAAAACAAUGAUUUCAUGAAGCUUUUGAUCCCAAUCCAACACUAGAUAAAGACUAUAUAGGCCCAUUUAUUUGCAAGUCAGCACAUAAACAUAGAAGAAUUAUUAACAAUAUAAGCUGUAGCUUAUGCUAAAUGUUGGUAGGAACAGACAAUAAGUUAUGGAGAACUUCAGAGGACACUAAGGUUGGAUGGGAUUUUGGAAGUUGUACAGGUCAAUGCCACUCCAUCUAUUGGCUGAGUUUCACUAGGUUAAUACAUGAACAACAACAAAAAUAACCUAGAUCAGAAGUUAAAGAUCAUUUUAUUGACUAUCUGCCGUGUCUGUGCCAUUGCAGUGUACUAGGUGCACUUACGAGUCCUCUACUUACAAACUGCUUUUCACAAAAUAUGAAACUCCAGGCAAAGGUUCAGACAUACGACGUUUGUUUUUAAAAUCUUUCUACAGCCUUGUAUCCUUUUUCCUUUCCUUCCUUUUACCCUUUUUAAAAUGUGUUAUGAGUUUUAUCUUAGACUAACAUCAUCUGAAAUGUUGCUAUACGCCAGUAUUCAGUUGCUGUGUUUGAUGAAUCAUAAAAUGGUGUAAAACUUCAAUUAGUGUACUUUUUAAAUAAAGUAUCUAUGAAUGCA